rnacentral:misc_RNA from 1 species
GAUGAAGAACGCAGUGAAAUGCGAUAAGUAAUGUGAAUUGCAGAAUUCAGUGAAUCAUCGAAUCUUUGAACGCACAUUGCGCCCCUUGGUAUUCCGAGGGGCAUGCCUGUUCGAGCGUCAUUAUAACCCCUCAAGCUCAGCUUGGUGUUGGGGCCUGCUGCACUGGCAGCCCUUAAAAUCAGUGGCGGCGCCAUCUGGCUCUAAGCGUAGUAAUUCUUCUCGCUAUGGAGUCCUGGUGGAUGCUUGCCAUCAACCCCCAAUUUUUCUCUGGUUGACCUCGGAUCAGGUAGGGAUACCCGCUGAACUUAAGCAUAUCAAUAAGCGGAGGA